UUAGUGGCGGACGGGUGAGUAACGCGUGGAAAACCUGCCGUAUACUGGGGGAUAACACUUAGAAAUAGGUGCUAAUACCGCAUAAGCGCACAGCUUCGCAUGAAGUGGUGUGAAAAACUCUGGUGGUAUACGAUGGUUCCGCGUCUGAUUAGCUAGUUGGUGGGGUAAUGGCCUACCAAGGCAACGAUCAGUAGCCGGCCUGAGAGGGUGAACGGCCACAUUGGGACUGAGACACGGCCCAAACUCCUACGGGAGGCAGCAG
rnacentral:rRNA from 1 species